rnacentral:lncRNA from 1 species
AACAGUUGAAACUGGAGCAGCAGCACGGCCAGGUGGACUGGGGACAGCAAGGAGUCAUCAUACCAGGUAGUCCUGAGGCAUGGUCCUAGGGCUCAGGUCCUCCGAGAGAAAGACAGAAAGAGAGAAAGAGAGAAUUAGAGAGAGCAUAUUUAAAUACACACAGGACACCGGAUAAGACAAGAGAAAUACUCCAGAUGUAACAGACUGACCCUAGCCCCCGACACAUAAACUACUGCAGCAUAAAUACUGGAGGCUGAGACAGGAGGGAUCAGAAGACACUGUGGCCCCAUCCGAUGAUACCCCGGACAGGGCCAAACAGGCAGGAUAUAACCCCACCCACUUUGCCAAAGCACAGCCCCCACACCACUAGAGGGAUGUCUCCAACCACCAACUUACCGUCCUAAGACAAGGCCGAGUAUAGCCCACAACGAUUUCCGCCAUGGCACAACCCAAGGGGGGGGGGCGCCAACCCAGACAGGAAGACCACGUCAGUGACUCAACCCACUCAAGUGACGCACCCCUCCCAUGGACGGCAUGGAAGAACACCAGUAGGCCAGUGACUCAGCCCCUGUAAAAGGGUUAGAGGCAGAGAAUCCCAGUGGAAAGAGGGGAACCGGCAAGGCAGAGACAGCAAGGGCGGUUCGUUGCUCCAGCCUUUCCGUUCCUCUUCACACUCCUGGGCCAGACUAUACUUAAUCAUAGGACCUACUGAAGAGAUAAGUCUUCAGUAAAGACUUUUGACCAGAGGGGUCAAAAGUCAUACCACCCUUUCAGAACCAUGUUUCUUACUACAUUAGACAAAUGAAAGCUAAGAACUUCAUCCACAUUUUGUAUCCCAGGUUCCCAGAACAUUCCCUAUCAAAAUAAUUUCACGUGUUUAAUUAAACUCAGAAAACAAAACUUCCAAAAUGCCAUGUGUGUAUACCCCUUUUAGAUAUCCUGUCCCUAGGAUUUAUUUUUAUUUUAUUUUUUUCCCAAAGAGAGCUAAGCGCUUCUUUUUCCAUAAAAUAACCACUUGGUCAGCGUUUCCAUCCUACCACACUGAUUCAAAAACCCAAAAGUUGACUAAAAACAAAACUUCAUAGUACUUAUAAUUCCAUUGUACUUCCCAAUGUGUAUCUCUUUACUUAUUCAAUUACUUCUAUGUGUAUCUCUUAUCUACUGGUAAUUUCCUCUAAGAUCUCAGAAUAAUUUCUUUCAUGACUUUUGAUAGAUCCAUUAGGUCUCACAUGUAUAUGGCUUUUGACCCUCUUAUCUAUUUCACACACAAUUAUCUUCUUACCCCUGUGGAAAUUUCCCAAUGUGUCUAUGUGUUGUAUAAUCUAUGUUUAUCUCCUUCCUGAAACUUUAUCUGUAGCGGUGACUUUUGAUCGGACAUUAGGUCGCAUACGUAUGCAACUAUAAGCUAUUUUCCAGGGGUCGUAAAGCCCUAGUUAAUGGCCUAUUUAUCUGUUGCUCCUUUGUAACUUUUGACUAUAAUAUCUGUAUCUCACUCUGCCAUAUUAGGUCUCCCUUCUCCCAUGGAUAAUCAGACCUAGAUUGCGCCUCCGGAAGAUCUGACCAUCCCCUCCUAGACGUAUUUAGACAGGCGACCUAUAUUAAUGCAAUCAUGUCUCUGUCCUCCUCCCUCAUAAUUACAUUACUAUAUUUCGCCUUCCAAUUUACGUUUCCUGCCAAUGUCUUUCCACCAAUUUUACGUUUUAGGUACUCAACAUUUAGCUAGUUUAUAUUGGUAGUGGCCACGGAUACCGUCGAGUCAUUUCGGACCCCUCCUCCUCCUGUUUGGAUUUAUACCCGAUUCCUAUCUUCCAUUUGCACAGAAUACUUGGUUCCCUUUAAAACAUUUUUUCUCUACACAAACUUAUAAAGACAGGUCACCAGAUACAAACUCCCUUCCGGAUAGUUCCAGCGUCUAACACCCAGAGUACAUUAAAAUCCUCUACUUGCUCCGACCUUUCACUCUCACAUCAACCGCUUUUGCCUUUCACUCUCACAUCCAUCGCUUUUGCCUUUCACUCUCACAUCAAUCGCUUUUGCCUUUCACUCUCACAUCAAUCGCUUUUGCCUUUCACUCUCACAUCAAUCGCUUUUGCCUUUCACUCUCACAUCAAUCCCUUUUGCCUUUCACUCUCACAUCAAUCGUUUCCUCAUUUAAUGCCAACAUCCAGAUGUAUCCUUCAUUCCAUCAUGCAGACCUACAGGUGUAUCACUCAUUUCAUCAUGCAACGCAGACAUUCAGGUGCUACCACUCAUUCCUUAUUUAAUGUAAUCAUACGGGUGUUAUUCGCCAAAACAAUGAAUAAAGCUUACGAACCUUGUUAUUUGCAGCUGAGUUUUUCAAUGUUCGUUGAAUCUCGUCACCACCUCUGUCGCGUACCAGUUUGCCACCGUCCUGUAAAGAACCCACAGUAAAGGGCCAGGUGAUUUACGGAUAUUUCAUCCGCCCGUGCACGGUUUCGGUGUCUCCUUGGAACGACAGCGGCAGUUUGAAAUCCGGCUCGAAGGACCAAUUGUUAAAGGAAUUUUAUAUCUUGAUGAUAAU